AUACGUAGGUGGCAAGCGUUAUCCGGAAUUAUUGGGCGUAAAGAGGGAGCAGGCGGCAGCAAGGGUCUGUGGUGAAAGCCUGAAGCUUAACUUCAGUAAGCCAUAGAAACCAGGCAGCUAGAGUGCCGGAGAGGAUCGUGGCAUUCCAUGUGUAGCGGGGAAAUGCGUAGAUAUAUGGAGGAACUCCAGUGGCGAAGGCGGCGAGCUGGCCUGCAACUGACGCUCAGUCCCGAAAGCGUGGGGAGCAAAUAGGAUUAGAUACCCUAGUAGUCCACGCCGUAAACGAUGAGUACUAAGUGUUGGAUGUCAAAGUUCAGUGCUGCAGUUAACGCAAUAAGUACUCCGCCUGAGUAGUACGUUCGCAAGAAUGAAACUCAAAUGAAUUGGCGGGG
rnacentral:rRNA from 1 species